CAGCAACAACAGCAAGCAGCUCUGAUGGCAGCCGCUGCCACGGCGCCUGGAUCGGCAGCCGCCUACAUGAACCCCAUGGCCGCCCUGGCGACGCAAAUACCUCAUGGCCUCAACGGCACCGGACAGCCGCCUUCUUUGCCCUCUCCAACAAUGCCCAACUUCAGCAUGGGCGCCAACACGCCCAACGGCCAGCCCGGCGGAGCUGCCGCGGCCGCAGCAGCUGCUGCAGCGGACGGGGUAUUCACGAACGGCAUUCCGCAAACUGCAUUCCCAGGCCGUAAGUACCAGAAAUUCAGUCAUAAGUUUACCCGUUCCGAUCGAAUAACCGACUCGCGUACUCUCUUCCUUUAUUCCUUCAAUUUUAAUGAAUUUUUUUUUUGCAGAUCCGCUGCAUUUGACUAUACCACCACAAGGUCUGCCAAACGGCGAUGCUGCUACUCUGCAACAUGCCUUCCCUGGUCUGCCACCAUUUCCAGGAGUUGGUAAGUGUCCCCGAACCGGCGCAUACUAAGUCUUUAUCCGUUGCUCUAAGAUAGAAUAUCUAGGUUAGGCAGAAAAAAUAAAAAUCAUCAAAUGGAUUUAGAUGAAUCGCCCCAAUUCAUUGCUUUCUCAUUCUGCACACUCGAAACAUGUCAACUUGUCAUUUGAGCCGCGCUCCGUCUAAUAAUUAAGCAUUGGCAAUGGCCGUACGAUUGUUCCAUCGUCACCAAAAUUAUUAUCAUUUCAACCACCAAUUCAUGUUCCAAAGAAAUCAACAACAACAACAAAACAACCCAAUCAUUCAUAAUUGUUUUUAUCGAAAUAAAUAAUAAUUGUUGUGUCAUGCCAUAAAUAUUUUUAUUGUUAGUAAAGUGUCAUAUAACUCUAACUUUUAUAUACAUAUUUAAUUAUUAUUUUUUUUUUUUUUUAACAGAAUCCAGCGAAUGUUGUCGAAACAUAAUUAAUUUUUUUGUUCAGUAACCAAUGCAAAAGUAAUGCCGCUCCAUUCGAAUCUCGACCGAAUCGACAACACUAGCUUGGUUGCUUUUGUUGGCUUUUGAUUUGAAUAUAUUGAGCUUAGUUAGUUUUCUAUUUGUUCACCACAAAGUUGCGUUUUUCAAUGUUAAACCGUUAACAUUUGUUGCUUAUGAGCCGCACCUAUUAAUUAUUUAUUGUUUUCUGAUGUGUUUCAUUUUGCAAACUCUUUCACAAAUCCAGCCCCUGAGCUGCUGAUACUUAGCACUAAUUUGAAAUUUUCUUUUCAAGUGCGAAUUAUUCUUUGUUUAUUACUAAACUAUAAAAUUACUUGAAAAAUUUAAUUAUAUACAUACCUAUAUAUAUAUUUGUACGUAUACUUAAUUGUUGUGUUGUCUUCAUAAAUGUUUCGGAUUUUGUGUAAAAACCAAAAACAAAAAUUAUUUAUAUAUAAUGCAGCCUUCCCCGCCGUCUAUGGACAGUUUCCACAAGCUUUACCACCUCCCCUAGCGGCGGUUGCACCCACUCAGCGUGAAGGUAAGCUUUUCAUUAUUAUUUUGUUAAUCGAAUUUCGUAACCUCCGUAUUCCCCGAAACCCUUUAACCCCCAACAUGUUCUCUAGUUCGUUCGUUUCCGUUCUCCUAACUCGAUAUCGUAAUUGAGUUUUGAAAAAUAUCGAAUGAUACAUUAACAAACGACUGAAAAUAAUCGUAGUUUUUUGUUUCCAUCAAGUACUCGUAAAUGAUUCACUCCAUGUUUUCUUUGAUUCGUUGUCAUUAGAAUAAUAUACCAUGCAACACACACACACACACGCACAUACAAACAUAUAUUCCACACACAGACAAGCGGUCAUCAUGCGGCUAGAUUAAGCCAAUCCUGAAAGUAAUUAAUUCUCUUUUCGGCUGGAGAGAAAUUAAAUUUAAAACAAAAUCUCAUAAAAAUUAAUUACUUUGCGUACAGUGUUCUUUUCUGCUCUGUUCCUUUUGCCGUUUAUUUUAUUUUGAUAAACAUUUUAUUUGUUUCCGCAAUCCCUCAAAGGAGAAGAAGGGACGCGAAUGAGGACAUUCAACCCUUUCGAGCUGUAUGCUUGUCGGGCAAGGCGUAAAUCGUUUUUAAUGGCUGCAUUCAAAGGCAUUUUAUGCCAUCGUAAAAAUUACAUAUAAACUGCUUAAAAUCAUAUAAAGACCGUCGGCGUAUUUCGAAGACAUUUGCUCAUAAAAUUUUAUGUUUGUUUUUCGGUUCGUUUUGUCUUUGCUCUUUUUUCUUUUUGGACAGUGACAAUAGUACCACGUCGUACCUUGGUAAAGCAUUAUAUAAUUUAUGCCUGUCUGUGGUGUGUCUGUGGAUUGAAAUCAUAUACAUACAUAUAUCUACAUACAUACAUAUGUGUGUGGGUGUUGUGUGCGUGUACCUGUAUGCUAAGUAUGUACCUAACUUGAGUGUAACGUUCAAUUUUCAUAUCUGUUACUCCGUAGUCUGUUGUAUCUCUAUGUAUACCCUAGAAUCUACCCUGCAUGACACACGCACACAUGUAUACAGACACUUUAUUUCAUAUUUACAUAUAUUUAAAUAGAAUAUGCAUAUUAUAAUGGUAAUUUGGGGAUGAAAUACAUGGUAGAGAUCUCAGCUCAAGCAUAUAGUUAACUAUUACUAGAUUCAUUAAGCAUUUCUAGCCUAAACGAACCUCAAAUGUCUGUAUGUUUAUCAUUUAGCCUGUUCGUUUGGUUAUGGUUUUGUUUCCUAGUUUUUAGUUGAAUCGUCCAGAAAACAAAUUCAGCCACAGAACACAAUUCACAGUUCACAGAUCUCAGAGCACAAAUCAGAAAUCUAUCAGUUCAAAAUAAAACUCAAACAAAAUUAAACGAAACGAAUUCAAUUCAAACAGAACCAGAACAAAAAAAAAGCAGACAUACUCGUACUCAUAAAGAUCGAAAUUAUUAUUUUGCCAUCGCUUAAUUUCAUUCUCUACUUUGUUUCUUUUCUUGUAAUGUCUUCUUUUAAGAUUUUCUGAUGUUCCCAGGAUGCUCGAUAUCCGGCCCAGAGGGUUGCAAUCUCUUCAUCUACCAUUUGCCCCAAGAGUUUGGCGAUGCGGAAUUAAUGCAAAUGUUCCUACCCUUUGGCAAUGUGAUCAGCUCUAAGGUCUUCAUCGAUCGUGCUACAAACCAGAGCAAAUGCUUCGGUAGAGUCUCCACACCCCCUACCUAUUAUAUUCAGCUGUUCCUAAUCAAAUGGCUCUCUCUCUCUCUCUCUUUAUGUAGGUUUUGUGUCCUUCGAUAACCCCGCAAGCGCUCAAGCGGCCAUUCAGGCCAUGAAUGGCUUCCAGAUUGGCAUGAAAAGACUGAAAGUUCAAUUGAAGCGGCCAAAGGAUGCCAGUCGACCCUAUUAACAAUCGGAGUUCCUUAAGUGUAAUUCACAACAACUACAUCUACUACCUGGAUCAUCAACAACAGGAGUAGUCGGAGGAGCAGCCAUUCCACAAACUAGAACUCAAUUUGCAACUGCAGCAGCAGCAACAACAUCCACAGCAACAGCAUCAGCCACAGCAACAACCACAGUACACCGCUAUAGUCGCAGAAGCAGCUUUAGGCCACCAUUUCCCACUGAAAACUCUCCUAAUAUGCAGUAUCAGUUCGCCAGCUGGCGAAAUGGUACCUACUGCUACCGCUAUAGCACCCCCAGCAACAUCUCCCCCAGCAACAUCAGCAAUUCCAGAAACUGCAGCAAGGACAACAGCAACAGCACCACCAACAACAAUAGCAGCAACUGCAGCAGCAGAAUGGACGAUUCCCAUCCACAGCCAACUCAACCGGACACGGCAUCCAAUAGCAACCAGAAGAACCUAUCCAAAGUGGAACUAGUCGAAAAACUGUUCAUGUGGCAGCAACAAAAACGAAAGACCUAAAACCAGUAGGACCCACACCACCACCACAUCAGCAACCAUGACAACGGCGACAACAAUAAGGAGCAACUACUGAAAGGGUGAGCCAUUGAAUUCGGAUGUUUGGGAACCCCAGUCCCGCAAACACUUUAGAAGAAUACGAACAAGAUCUCUUUCCAAAUGAAAGAUUUCCCAGAACUGUUUCGGCGAUCGUCUUGGAAGGAGAUCUUACGGAUAGAACUUGGAUCAGCUUACUGAUGCUAUACCAUUACCUCUUUUCAGAUGGUCUUCACCAUGCUAAGUGAAAAUGAUUAUAAAAAUAAAAAUGAACACAUGUUCAUGUGAAAAAAAACCUAAAAAAUAGUAAACAAAAAAAUGUAUAAUAAAAAAAGAAAAUACUUUAGAGCUGAAAUUUAAAUAGAUUUAUAUAUAUAUAUACAAAACAGCAGAACAUACAUGCAACUAUAUAUAUAUUUAUUCGAUUAUACAUGCAGAUGAAUGCAGUAUUUAAAAAAUUAAAGAGAAACCCAACAGAAACAAAAUGAUAAUGAUGUUGAGAAGCCCGAAGAAAGAACAAAAUUUUUGCCAAAAUAUCGAUUUAUUAUGAAUAUAUAUAGACACAUAAAUAUAUAUAUUUAUAGAAGCAAGGAACAAACAUUGAUAUUGAUAAUUUUGUUAACAAGAGAUAAACAAACCACAUAACAUAUGCACACCCAACACACACCACACACAGGAAAAACAACUUGAGACAAAAACUGACUGGCAAGAGACCAAAAUUAUCUGGGUUUUCAAAUUAAAAAAAAAAAACAAAAAAAAGAAACAAAUAAUAAAUAAUAAACAAAAAAAAGAGGGAGUACUAGUAGAGCAGCAGCCAAUUUAUAAGAAAAUUUGGUAAUGGGAAUUUAUUAAAUUAACAAGAUGCUGCAGAUAAAAUUAAUAAAAGAAAACCUAAAACAAGAGAAAAACUAUCAAAACUGAAUUUGUUAAUCUGAUGAUGAUAAAAUCGAAUGGAGUUGACAGUUAAAUGAUUUGAAUGGAUAAGAGGUGUAGACAAGCAGAAGGAUUUAAUGAUAGAGCCUAGGAUGAUUGAUAGAGGAACAUAGCUCUGCAACUUUUUAGCAUUUAGUGGUAAGCAAGAAGCAGAAUGUUCUAUAUAUAUAUGCAUAUACAAGUAUAUAUAUACACAUGUGUAUAUGUAUGUGUACGAAUGAAAAAUUAACACAAAAAUUCGAAUUUAAUUAAUUGUAAGUAAAACAAACCGAUAUAACAAAAUAGGAAUACACCAGCUCAGAGCAGGCCACUUAAUAUGCGCAAUGCUUUGAUGGAUAUGUGAAAGGCUACGGAUGAACAGACCGCAGUAUAUAUCUAUAUAUACCAAUAGGUAUAUAGUACUACUGGAUAGGUCGAGCCCAGGUCACCGCCCCAGGGUGGGCCUGCUGGCCUCGCCCCGAAGCAAAAAUAUCAUUUUUGAUUAUACAUAUAUAAAUGAGAAACUAAUUUAGCAUCAUAAUAUGAAUUUGUUAGAGCUAAUAACGAGAAUCGCGAAAACGAACGGAGGAGUAAACACAAAACUAGAAAAGAUAAAUUAAUCCAAAAACUCUAAAGAUCACUUGUGUUGGGCUGAGAGCUCUGUUGGAGAUAUUCUUCUACGAUACUAGUCUUCAAUUAGUUAUUCUGUAUUUAUGUUCGUUUUGUUUGCAGUUCGGUUGGGAACUUUUCUAAAACUAAUGAAAAUCGUAAUCGAUUUUAUAGUAUAAUAAACUAAAAUAAACUAAUAUUUGUAUAAAAUCAAACAACAAAAAUUUUACACUUAAACUUAGCUGCUUGCAACAAAAACAAAUACAGG
rnacentral:lncRNA from 1 species